GGUAAGAAAGCCAGGGGAUAGACGAUACACUAGUGAAGCUUUAAAAUACCACUAUUAAAAUAAGUUAGAUCAAAGUGUCUUUGAAUAAAAAAACGAAUACCCCUAUUGGAGCUGGGUCAAACACCCAGACUAACUUCAGCGUCUCAAAGGGAGAGAGCCGUAUCUGCAUCUGGAAGGUCAUACUGUCUGCUAUCCACACCUAUACAACCAUGGGGACGUGUUAUGAGCCAAUCAGAAGGAAGUGUACCGUCACCAGCUGAUGUCAGUCAGCCUACUCUGAACAAACACUACACCUCAUUGGGUACUUCAGUGACUGCUCUUUAACAUAUUUCUUCAAGUGUCUGGAGCUCUGGUCUUUGUGAAGGCUGCAGCACGUAAAUGAUAUCUGUUAAACAUUCAUCAAAACAAAAAGCGACCUCUUUUGCCCCGUGUUGAGGCAUCUGCAUCAGUGAUGCUUGGAACUGUUACUUAUUCAUGCUUGUUUGACUAAUGUGCAGAGUUAAAAACAAGCCUGCUUUUUGUGAAUUAAAGUUUAAAUCACAUGGAA